rnacentral:rRNA from 1 species
UAGGGAAUUUUCCACAAUGGGGGCAACCCUGAUGGAGCAACGCCGCGUGCAGGAGGAAGGCCUUCGGGUCGUAAACUGCUUUUAUUUGUGACGAUUUUGACGGUAGCAAAUGAAUAAGGAUCGGCUAACUCCGUGCCAGCAGCCGCGGUCAUACGGAGGAUCCAAGCGUUAUCCGGAAUUACUGGGCGUAAAGAGUUGCGUAGGUGGUCGUUUUAGUCUCUGUUUAAAUAUCCAGGCUCAACCUGGAAGCGGGCAGGGAAACUGGACGACUUGAGCAUAGUAGAGGUAACUGGAAUUGCUAGUGUAGGAGUGAAAUCCGUAGAUAUUAGCAGGAACACCGAUGGCGUAGGCAGGUUACUGGGCUAUUGCUGACACUAAGGCACGAAAGCGUGGGGAGCGAACGGG